CCUACGGGAGGCAGCAGUGAGGAAGAUUGGGCAAUGGACGAGAGUCUGAACCAGCAAAGGAGCGUGAAGGAUGACUGCCCUAUGGGUUGUAAACUUCUUUUAUAUGGGAAUAAAAUGUUCCACGUGUGGGUUUUUGUAUGUACCAUAUGAAUAAGGAUCGGCUAACUCCGUGCCAGCAGCCGCGGUAAUACGGAGGAUCCGAGCGUUAUCCGGAUUUAUUGGGUUUAAAGGGAGCGUAGGUGGAUUGUUAAGUCAGUUGUGAAAGUUUGCGGCUCAACCGUAAAAUUGCAGUUGAAACUGGCAGUCUUGAGUACAGUAGAGGUGGGCGGAAUUCGUGGUGUAGCGGUGAAAUGCUUAGAUAUCACGCAGAACUCCGAUUGCGAAGGCAGCUCACUGGACUGCAACUGACACUGAGGCUCGAAAGUGUGGGUAUCAAACAGGAUUAGAUACCCGAGUAGUC
rnacentral:rRNA from 1 species